rnacentral:rRNA from 1 species
AGCGAACGCUGGCGGCAGGCUUAACACAUGCAAGUCGAGCGGGCAUCCUUGUGGUGUCAGCGGCAGACGGGUGAGUAACGCGUGGGAACGUGCCCUUCGGUUCGGAAUAACUCAGGGAAACUUGAGCUAAUACCGGAUACGUGCGAGAGCAGAAAGGUUUAUCUGCCGAAGGAUCGGCCCGCGUCUGAUUAGCUAGUUGGUGAGGUUACGGCUCACCAAGGCGACGAUCAGUAGCUGGUCUGAGAGGAUGAUCAGCCACACUGGGACUGAGACACGGCCCAGACUCCUACGGGAGGCAGCAGUGGGGAAUAUUGGACAAUGGGGGCAAGCCUGAUCCAGCCAUGCCGCGUGAGUGAUGACGGCCUUAGGGUUGUAAAGCUCUUUUCUCCGGGACGAUAAUGACGGUACCGGAGGAAUAAGCCCCGGCUAACUUCGUG